rnacentral:rRNA from 3 species
CCGCCGGCCAUCUCGGUCGCGUGGAAUGUGGUGUUUGGGAGAGCCUCCUCGCUGUGCGUUGACCGGUCCAAGUCCACCUUGACUGGGGCCCUGGCCCAUAGAGGGUGAUAGGCCCGUAAGACGGUCGACGCGCUGCGCUGGCUUUUCCCUAGAGUCGAGUUGCUUGGGAGUGCAGCUCAAAGUGCGUGGUAAACUCCACGUAAGGCUAAAUAUGACCCCGAGACCGAUAGCGAACAAGUACCGUGAGGGAAAGUUGAAAAGCACUUUGAAGAGAGAGUUAAAUAGUACGUGAAACUGUGUAGUGGUAAACGGAGGGGCUCUCGAAGUCGGCGCGGGAGAUUCAGGCUGACGGCCGGGCGGGUUGGGCGUGCGUGAUCCGCGAGGACUCCGCGUUUUUCUCGGCCCUGUCGGCGGCUGCACUUCUCUCGUGCUCCACGCGACGAACCGCUGCCUGCGGACCGUGGACCCGGGUGAAGUUUGUUGUUCUUCGGAGCGGCAAGCCCCGGGCUCUUGGCUCUGCGGGCGGCGGGUACAGGAGUGGUCUCGUAUAGCGAGUGUCUCUCGCUGGCACGGGCCGCAUCUCUGUCGCGAGUAGGUCGGCGGCCCCUCCGACCCGUCUUGAAACACGGACCAAGGAGUCUAACAUGUGUGCGAGCCAUUGGGUGUUCUAAACCUAAGGGCGCAGUGAAAGCGAAGGGCACUUUUGUGUCUCAGGGGCGAUCCCUUGCGGGCGCAGCCCCGGCGCUUCGCGUCGAC